rnacentral:rRNA from 1 species
UGCAAGUCGAGCGGAACGACACUAACAAUCCUUCGGGUGCGUUAAUGGGCGUCGAGCGGCGGACGGGUGAGUAAUGCCUAGGAAAUUGCCUUGAUGUGGGGGAUAACCAUUGGAAACGAUGGCUAAUACCGCAUAAUGCCUACGGGCCAAAGAGGGGGACCUUCGGGCCUCUCGCGUCAAGAUAUGCCUAGGUGGGAUUAGCUAGUUGGUGAGGUAAUGGCUCACCAAGGCGACGAUCCCUAGCUGGUCUGAGAGGAUGAUCAGCCACACUGGAACUGAGACACGGUCCAGACUCCUACGGGAGGCAGCAGUGGGGAAUAUUGCACAAUGGGCGAAAGCCUGAUGCAGCCAUGCCGCGUGUAUGAAGAAGGCCUUCGGGUUGUAAAGUACUUUCAGUUGUGAGGAAGGGUGUGUAGUUAAUAGCUGCGCAUCUUGACGUUAGCAACAGAAGAAGCACCGGCUAACUCCGUGCCAGCAGCCGCGGUAAUACGGAGGGUGCGAGCGUUAAUCGGAAUUACUGGGCGUAAAGCGCAUGCAGGUGGUUCAUUAAGUCAGAUGUGAAAGCCCGGGGCUCAACCUCGGAACUGCAUUUGAAACUGGUGAACUAGAGUGCUGUAGAGGGGGGUAGAAUUUCAGGUGUAGCGGUGAAAUGCGUAGAGAUCUGAAGGAAUACCAGUGGCGAAGGCGGCCCCCUGGACAGACACUGACACUCAGAUGCGAAAGCGUGGGGAG